ACGCCGGCCGCCACUACUUCCGGGUCCCCGGCGCUCCGGCCCCUCCUUAGCAACCGCGUGGGGUUGCUAAGCGGAAGUGCCUUCAAACACGUCCACCCGCGUUUCUUGGGAGACCUGCAGCGGGGAGCGGUUAGCGCGCGUGGGCUCCUCUUUGGCACCGCCCCUUGUGUUUAGCUCUUGCUUCGGGGCUUGGAAAGCGGGCACAGACCGGGCACGAGGCUCACAGGGCUUCCCCGCCCCCCCGGCCCGGGCAUCCGCCGCGAGUUGGAUGCAGACCCAGUGGCUCCUCCUCUGACGCUCCGGCUCCUCGUGGACGUUGUUUUCUGACGGUCUAGCGAGCAUCUCCCUCUUGUGGAGUUUCAGCUGUGUUUCAGCCGGCUGUGAACCCCCUUUGACGUUAUGGAAGCAUUUUCAGGCACGGCGUCCUCCUGUGACAGCCCCUGACACCGGAUGGCUUUUGUAAGACCUGCCCGGCGAUGGGGUGCCCUGAUCCUGAAUAGCACCGAGAAGACAGCGGGAAGUCCAUCCUCGCGAAGAAGGAAGACGUCCGAUUCUCCCAGCAGAAUCUAUGAGAAAAAAAGAGAGCGCCAAGAGCACCAGAGCACCACUCUGGCACACGUGGGACCAGGGACUGACCGCAGACUUCAUGUCUUCAAGUCCAGGGCUUCAUCCAUCCGACCAGCUUCCAGACCACCUUUUCUACAUGGGGAAGGUGAGAGGGGAAGGGGGGAACAGUGGAAGAGAAACACCUGUAGCAGCACCCCUUCACCACUCAUGAAGCUCCCCCUGUAGGUGGGGACCAAAGGCUGCAAUCCCAGUCUGUGCACAGGGUACUGUGUGUGCUUAACUGACAGAGCAGUAUGAGGUUUACAUCCAGAGAUGAUCACCGUUGCUUUCUGGUAUGUUUUAUAUAGAUGUAUGUCAUAAAUAUCUUUUACACAAUAAAGACUACUUUUAUAUCUAGAGGUCUUAGUUUUUUAAAAAACUGUUUAAAUAUUUGUUUUAUUUAUUUAUUUUGGCUAUAAACAGAAGGAAAGGAAAAAAAAAACAUUAACCCUUCAAUAAAAUUAAGAGACCCUCAGACACUCAAGUCCAGUGCUUUAUAAGUUGAACCAUUUUCACAGCCUCCGUGAUUUCUUACAUAUCUAGCUGCUGGGCUGAGCUUCAUGGGCGGGAGACAGAGAUGACCAGGGACUCAUGGCUGAGUGGUACGCACUUCAGUCUUUAUUCAUGUGGAACGCAGUGCAAUCUAAGCUAUCUCUAAUCACAAUCUUGUCCUUCUCUAUCCUGAGGCAAAAGGGUCAGGUCUGAAAAAAGGAUGUAUGUAGGAUAGGGGGUGGGGAGAAGGAAAAAGCUGAACCAGUGAGGAUUAAACCAAUGCCCUGGAGGCAGGGCGGUGCUUAGUUAACAGUAGUUAUGUAAAUAGAAUACAGUGCCAGGCAAGGGGGAUUAAACCAAUGAAACAGAAGGGGUCUUAGAAGCAGAAUUUAGAAGCAUACCAACAUCUAGCAAAAAGUUGUAAUGCACUACAGUGUUAGUUUUCAUUGCUUCUAAGUGAUGGAAAUUUUAUACUUUCAGGUGGGGGGGGGUGUAGAUAGCAUAACGGUCAUGCAAAGAAACUCUCAUGCCUGAUGCUUUCAAGUCCCAGGUUCAAUCCCUUGCACCACCAUAAUCCAGAGCUUCUAUUGGUGCUAUAAUUUCCAUGGUCCGGGAGGUGGCACAGUGAUAAAGCUUUGGACUCUCAAGCCUAAAGUCCAAAGUUCAAUCCCUGGCAGCACAUGUGCCAGAGUGAUGUCUGGUUCGUUCUCUCUCCUUCUGUGUCUUUCAUAAAUAAACAAAUUAAAAAAAAUAUUUAAAAAAAUAAUAAUAAUUUAUACUUUCCAGUUUUCUACAUUGGUUGUUUAUUCUCUGUGCUUUCCCACCAGGAUUUCUCUGGGGCUCCGCGUCUAACUAAUUCUUCUCCUGGCGGCCUCUCCAUCCCACCAGCAGAUGGUGAGAAAAGAGAGCUUGACCACAAGCUGCGCUCCACCUUCCGUGAAACUUCCCCUUGCAUGGUGCUCCGAUGCAGAGCCAGAGGCAUGUGGGGACUAGGGGUUUGAACCCGAGUCCUUGCAUAUUGUAACUUGCUUUCAACCAGGUGUGUUACCACCUGGCCCUCUUUUUAUGAUUUUUUAAUUAAUGAUCAAGAGGACAAAGGGGGAUGGAGACCAGGGCAUCACUCCAGAAUGUGUGACGGCAGCGUCUGAGCCCAAGACCCUCAGCUUGUCCUUAUGCUUAUUGAAACUCUACCUACUACACCACCACAGGGUCAUUGCUUUGUUUUUAUUUUCAAGAAUAUACAGACAUUCUAUAGAGUCUAGAAUAUAAUAACUUACUUUCUGUUUGCUUUUCCUAAGCAGCUGCUUUCUGAAUCUUCAGGAAUCCAGUUCUCUUUUUCAGAAUCUUUAGGAGCCAGACUGAAGAAUUCUCCAAUUCCUUUUUGCCACUUGGGAGUCGGACGCACGCACACUGGAUUGCCGCCCGCAUACUUACUUUCACCUGGAAAAUAUCAGCAGGUAAGAACAAAGAAUACGGGAGUCGGGUGGUCCGGGAGGUGGCGCAGUGAAUAAAGCAUCGGACUCUCAAGCAUGAGGUCCUGAGUUCAAUCCCCGGCAGCACAUGUACCAGAGUGAUGUCUGGCUCUUUCUCUCUCCUCCUGUUUCUCAUUAAUAAAUAAAAUCUUUAAAAAAAAAAAAAAAGAAUACGGGAGUCGGAGUAGCGCAGCAGGUUGAGCGCACGUGCAAAGCGCAAAGAACAGCGGAAGGACCCCUCUUCAAGCCCACCAACUCCCCACCUGCAGGGGAGUCGCUUCACAGGCAGUGAAGCAGGUCUGCAGGUGUCUAUCUUUCUCUCCCCCCUCUGUCUUCCCCUCCUCUCUCCAUUUCUCUCUGUCCUAUCCAACAACGACGACAUCAACAAUAACUACAACAAUAAAAAAACAAGGGCAACGAAAGGGAAUAAAUAAUAAUAAAAAAAGUUACUAAAAAAAAGAAAAAA